rnacentral:lncRNA from 1 species
GAUGACAGAGAAAUGGGGUUGGAGUGAAAGAGAUGAAAGAGAAAGAGUUGAGAGGAAUGAGAGAGGUGGAUAAGGAUUUGGGGUUUCUUUUUUUAUUUUUUUAAUUUUGAGGAUGAAAAUUAUUAAAAUACUCUUAACCUUAAAACUUAGAAUUCAUGAUAUAAGGAUAUUUUUGUCUACUUAAAACCCGGUACAUUGCUAAAAUGUACCAACUGAAAAACAGGCGUACACAAGUUAACAAACCCAUAUAAAUAAAUAAAUA